rnacentral:rRNA from 1 species
GAUGAACGCUGGCGGCGUGCUUAACACAUGCAAGUCGAACGAUGAAGCCCAGCUUGCUGGGUGGAUUAGUGGCGAACGGGUGAGUAACACGUGAGUAACCUGCCCUUAACUCUGGGAUAAGCCUGGGAAACUGGGUCUAAUACCGGAUAGGAGCGCCUACCGCAUGGUGGGUGGUGGAAAGAUUUAUCGGUUUUGGAUGGACUCGCGGCCUAUCAGCUUGUUGGUGAGGUAAUGGCUCACCAAGGCGACGACGGGUAGCCGGCCUGAGAGGGUGACCGGCCACACUGGGACUGAGACACGGCCCAGACUCCUACGGGAGGCAGCAGUGGGGAAUAUUGCACAAUGGGCGAAAGCCUGAUGCAGCGACGCCGCGUGAGGGAUGACGGCCUUCGGGUUGUAAACCUCUUUCAGUAGGGAAGAAGCGAAAGUGACGGUACCUGCAGAAGAAGCACCGGCUAACUACGUG